rnacentral:lncRNA from 1 species
CUUCCAUUGGCUUCCUCCUCACCCUGGGACAAAGUCUGGCAAUUGCUGAGGAAAAGGCCAAAUGCCACCUUGCAAUUUGCUGGGUCAUCCUGGAACAAGUGCUGCUGGGGCUCCCUGUCCCUACCCAAGCAGAGGAAAGUUCAGGACAGUGGGCAGAUGCCACCACCCCCAGAAAUGAGUAAACCAGGAGGCUGGGCCUGGGGUGCUGGCUGAGACCCUGGCCAAGUGCUUAUCCACAGUGAUAAAUGAGGUCAUCAUAGCUGCUAAGGUCAGUCCUCCUCGGGCAUGUAAACAGCAAAUAAGCUCAUGAUUGGAGAACACCCUUCGAGAGAGGAGGCUCCUGCAUGCAGAAGAUCCUUCCUGAGCACCUUCUGCCCUCCAUGUCCGAGCUGCACACUGGAACAGAGAGGUGAGGAAUCCGAGCCUCAGAGAGGGAGUGGGCUUUGUCCGGCAUCACGACAGCUGAAGCCCACAGGCUAGGAUUUGAACCCAGAUCCUGAAGACGCCAGGGCCUUUGCCCCUGUCCACUAGCUGUUGUGGCCUGCUUCACAACCAUGUCUCCUGGCCCCCGCUCCAGGGCUCCAUGACUGCUGAUUAAAAGAACAGCUUUGC